UCGAACGAUGAACCCGGAGCUUGCUCUGGGGGAUUAGUGGCGAACGGGUGAGUAACACGUGAGCAACCUGCCCCUGACUCUGGGAUAAGCGCUGGAAACGGCGUCUAAUACUGGAUAUGUCCCAUCACCGCAUGGUGUGUGGGUGGAAAGAUUUAUCGGUUGGGGAUGGGCUCGCGGCCUAUCAGCUUGUUGGUGAGGUAAUGGCUCACCAAGGCGUCGACGGGUAGCCGGCCUGAGAGGGUGACCGGCCACACUGGGACUGAGACACGGCCCAGACUCCUACGGGAGGCAGCAGUGGGGAAUAUUGCACAAUGGGCGCAAGCCUGAUGCAGCAACGCCGCGUGAGGGAUGACGGCCUUCGGGUUGUAAACCUCUUUUGGCAGGGAAGAAGCGAGAGUGACGGUACCUGCAGAAAAAGCGCCGGCUAACUACGUGCCAGCAGCCGCGGUAAUACGUAGGGCGCAAGCGUUAUCCGGAAUUAUUGGGCGUAAAGAGCUCGUAGGCGGUUUGUCGCGUCUGCUGUGAAAUUCCGAGGCUCAACCUCGGGCUUGCAGUGGGUACGGGCAGACUAGAGUGCGGUAGGGGAGAUUGGAAUUCCUGGUGUAGCGGUGGAAUGCGCAGAUAUCAGGAGGAACACCGAUGGCGAAGGCAGAUCUCUGGGCCGUAACUGACGCUGAGGAGCGAAAGGGUGGGGAGCAAACAGGCUUAGAUACCCUGGUAGUCCACCCCGUAAACGUUGGGAACUAGUUGUGGGGUCCUUUCCACGGAUUCCGUGACGCAGCUAACGCAUUAAGUUCCCCGCCUGGGGAGUACGGCCGCAAGGCUAAAACUCAAAGGAAUUGACGGGGACCC
rnacentral:rRNA from 1 species